CACAUGCAAGUCGAGCGGCAGCGGGAAAGUAGCUUGCUACUUUUGCCGGCGAGCGGCGGACGGGUGAGUAAUGCCUGGGAAAUUGCCCAGUCGAGGGGGAUAACAGUUGGAAACGACUGCUAAUACCGCAUACGCCCUACGGGGGAAAGCAGGGGACCUUCGGGCCUUGCGCGAUUGGAUAUGCCCAGGUGGGAUUAGCUAGUUGGUGAGGUAAUGGCUCACCAAGGCGACGAUCCCUAGCUGGUCUGAGAGGAUGAUCAGCCACACUGGAACUGAGACACGGUCCAGACUCCUACGGGAGGCAGCAGUGGGGAAUAUUGCACAAUGGGGGAAACCCUGAUGCAGCCAUGCCGCGUGUGUGAAGAAGGCCUUCGGGUUGUAAAGCACUUUCAGCGAGGAGGAAAGGUCAGUAGCUAAUAUCUGCUGACUGUGACGUUACUCGCAGAAGAAGCACCGGCUAACUCCGUGCCAGCAGCCGCGGUAAUACGGAGGGUGCAAGCGUUAAUCGGAAUUACUGGGCGUAAAGCGCACGCAGGCGGUUGGAUAAGUUAGAUGUGAAAGCCCCGGGCUCAACCUGGGAAUUGCAUUUAAAACUGUCCAGCUAGAGUCUUGUAGAGGGGGGUAGAAUUCCACGUGUAGCGGUGAAAUGCGUAGAGAUCUGGAGGAAUACCGGUGGCGAAAGCGGCCCCCUGGAAAAAGACUGACGCUCAAGUGCGAAAGCGUGGGGAGCAACAGGAUUAGAUACCCUGGUAAGCCCCCCCCUAAACGAUGUCCAUUUGGAGCUGUUUCCUUUAGAAGUGGCUUUCCGGAGCUUACACGUUAAAUCCACCGCCUGGGGAGUACGGCCCCAAGGUUAAACUCAAAUGAAUUGACGGGGGCCCCCCAAACGUGGAAAUGUGGUUUAUUUCAUCAACCCAAAACCUUCCGGGCUUUAUUUUGGAACCUUAAAAUACGGAGGCUUCCGAAAAAAAACAGGCUCAGGGUUUCCCCCCGCUGGAUGUUGUAAACCCAAAAUCACACUUCUUUUUCCCGUAUGGGAAUAAGGAAGCCGAUACCGGAAGGGGGAAUUAUUUUGCUUCUCCGGUUCCCGUUAUAGGGAAAGGUCCUUUUUAGAACAAACGCCUCCGGGGGGCUCCCCAUAGAGACUAUC
rnacentral:rRNA from 1 species